rnacentral:rRNA from 1 species
GACGAACGCUGGCGGCGUGCUUAACACAUGCAAGUCGUACGGUAAGGCCCUUUCGGGGGUACACGAGUGGGGAACGGGUGAGUAACACGUGAGUAACCUGCCCACAACUUUGGGAGAACGCUAGGAAACUGGUGCUAAUACUGGAUAUGUGCUCCUGCUGCAUGGUGGGGGUUGGAAAGCUCCGGCGGUUGUGGAUGGACUCGCGGCCUAUCAGCCUGUUGGUUGGGUAGUGGGCUACCAAGGCGGCGACGGGUAGCCGGCCUGAGAGGGUGACCGGCCCCAAUGGGACUGCGGUACGGCCCAGACGCCUACGGGAGGCAACAGUGGGGAAUAUUGCACAAUGGGCGCGAGCCUGAUGCAACAACGCCGCGUGCGGGAUGACCGGCUUCGGGUUGUAAACCGCUUUCAGCAGGGACGGAGCUUUUUGUGACGGUACCUGCAGAAGAAGCACCGGCUAACUACGUG